rnacentral:misc_RNA from 1 species
AGGACCUGCUGGGCCCCAAGG